GGGCAACUGAACAGGGAUUGUAUAAAAAAAGAUACAGCAACCUAGCUAAAAGUUAUAACGAAUUUUAUAUGGCCAAUCAACAAAAGUUGUGGAACUGACCAGGCUGUCAUGUCCGUUUUGAAUCUAGCUAAAAUUGGGAAAAAGUGGUUAGUACAAUCAAGGGAAGACUAAGGGAACAAAUGGGCAUGAGAAAAAAAUGGCUUUAAGG